GUGUUGGCCAGUGUUUCCCAAUUGUUAUAUUUUAUUUGACAACAAAAUGAUAAGUGAAUUUGUUACAGGGCUUAACCAUAACAGGAUCUGGAGAUAUUUGAAGAUGUUAUUGCAGAAUUUUCACCAGAGUUGAGAACAAUACUGUGAAGAGGGCAAGAGCAUAGCACAAAGCCCAGCAAUGAAGUAGCUGGACAUCUCCUGGACAGCAGCACCCACAAGACCUUAUUCAGCUACUUUCAAGUUUAUAGUGAUUGUGAGGUAAAGAAGACAACAGGAGAGAUGAAAACCAGCAAUAUACUACUGCAGAUCUGCACAUUAAUUGCUGCAGGAGGGUACACAAAGGGAGCAAGGCCAGGUACUCUUGAUUCCUGAAGCAUACCUUCUCUACAAGGCGUCAGCCUGUUGCAGUUACUUCCCCAUCGAUCUGUCUGCCACAUCUCUGGAAAGGUCAAGUGGAACGAGGGCCCUUUCCAGCACUCUUUCAA
rnacentral:lncRNA from 1 species